GUGCUCUUAAGUUGUGUUAAGUGUUGGCAGUUAUUCCGGACCCCACCCUAAGGUCCGGACCUUAAGCCCCGGUACUUCCCCUCCCCAUGUGAAGUCCGGGGUCUUUUUUUGCCUGCGA
rnacentral:sRNA from 22 species